rnacentral:lncRNA from 1 species
AAGCUGUUCCCGAACACCUUGGCACGUGUCGUCAGGACUUCCUGAAGCUGCGUCACAGGCGUGCAUCCUUGACCUUGGCAAAAUAAACUUGCUAAAUUAACUGAGACCUGUCUCAGAUUUUGGGGGUUCACAUUUUGGUAACCACAGGGGGAUUCUGAGUGAAGAUGCCCCUGGCCUGUGACAAAUCUCCUGUGGGUGCUUGGUACCCGCAUCAGCUAACUUUAUGGCUCAAACCAAUGGGACAACUUGCUGAGGCCUGUGAGCACCUCCUCAGUGAAUCCCUGACCUUUCAAAAUUUGGUCAAGAUCUAAAGUUUAUUUUGCUGUACAACUUCUUUUUUUUUUUUGAGUUUUACUUGCUUCCAACAAGGAAGGCAUGUCUUCCUACUUCCAUGACGAUGGAAAGCAGGUAACCCCUUUGUGGAGUUUGAGCUCGCUGCCAGCAGGGAAGAGGAGUUUUAUUUUUCCCUGCUGCUAGGAUGGGAGAGUGAAGUCUACAGCCUGAGACCCAUCACAAGGUCAUUUCAAUAUCAGAGUAAAGGGCAACAAUGUGUGGUAAUG